UACGGAGGGUGCGAGCGUUGUCCGGAAUUACUGGGCGUAAAGGGCGCGUAGGCGGCCCGCUAAGUCGAACGUGAAAUCCCCGAGCUCAACUCUGGAACUGCCUUUGAUACUGGCAAGCUAGAGUCCGGAAGAGGUAAGUGGAACUCCUAGUGUAGAGGUGGAAUUCGUAGAUAUUAGGAAGAACACCAGUGGCGAAGGCGGCUUACUGGUC
rnacentral:rRNA from 1 species